AAAAUAUUCUGAACGGCAUGGCCGCUCGCUGAGGACAGCUGUCAAAAGUUUGGAAGUUAGAGAGUGUCCUGGUACGCCGAUAACGCCGUAGGAUACUGGAAUAUCCUCGUGGAAAAGCGACUGACCGUUCCGCAGGGGACCAAGGAGAAGGAUGUUAACGGCGGCUGCGAACACAUUGUCGAAUAACGGCGGGUCUUACAGCAAUGAGAGACCGUCGAGCGCGGGUGACGCGGAUCUCGCGACGGAUCCCGCCUCCGGUGGAUUUUUCCACUCUGAUUAUAAGAAGCAUGAAGAUCUAAAGGAGAUGUUGGACAGUAACAAGGAUGGGCUCAAAUUAGAAGCCAUGAAACGUAUAAUCGGGAUGGUGGCAAAGGGAAGGGACGCAUCAGAGCUGUUUCCAGCUGUUGUCAAGAAUGUAGUGUCCAAGAACAUUGAGGUAAAGAAGCUGGUGUAUGUUUACCUGGUUCGUUAUGCGGAAGGCCAGCAAGAUCUCGCUCUUCUUUCCAUAUCGACGUUUCAAAGAGCCCUGAAGGACCCUAAUCAGUUAAUAAGAGCAAGUGCUCUAAGAGUACUGUCUAGCAUACGAGUUCCUAUGAUAGUACCCAUUGUGAUGCUCGCCAUUAAAGACUCAGCCAGCGACAUGUCUCCGUAUGUCCGAAAAACUGCUGCUCACGCAAUCCCGAAAUUAUACUCGUUAGAACCUGAGCAGAAAGAGGAGCUGAUAAGUGUGUUGGAGAAGCUGCUGUCCGACAAAACCACUCUCGUGGUGGGCUCUGCAGUAAUGGCUUUCGAAGAAGUCUGUCCGGAGAGGAUAGAUCUCAUCCAUAAGAAUUACCGAAAGUUGUGUAAUUUAUUGGUGGACGUCGACGAGUGGGGUCAAGUGGUUAUCGUCAACAUGCUCACCCGAUACGCCAGAACGCAAUUCGUCAAUCCGAAUACAGAUAACCUAGAAGAGGACGAUAAUCGGCCGUUUUACGACUCCGAUUCCGAUUCCUCUAACAACAAGAAACCAAAGUUCACGUUAGAUCCCGAUCAUCGUUUACUGCUGAGGAACACCAAGCCUUUGUUGCAAAGUCGUAACGCGUCCGUGGUAAUGGCGGUCUCGCAAUUAUAUCACCACGCAGCGCCCAGAAGCGAAGUUAUGACCGCUGCGAAGGCACUGAUCAGAUUGCUGAGAGGGCACAGAGAAGUGCAAAGCAUCGUGCUGCACUGUAUCGCUAGCAUUUCAAUUACGAGAAAGGGUAUGUUCGAGCCUUUCCUGAAGUCGUUCUUCGUGCGUACUUCCGACCCCACUCACAUCAAGCUCCUGAAGCUCGACAUACUGACGAACCUAGCGACCGAGACCAGCAUCAGCGUGAUACUUCGAGAGUUUCAGACGUACAUCUCGAGCAGCGACAAGGAAUUCGUGGGCGCCAGCAUACAGGCUAUCGGCAGAUGCGCGAGUAACAUCAAGGAAGUGACCGACACGUGUCUCAACGGACUGGUUUCAUUAUUGAGCAAUAGAGACGAGGCCAUUGUGGCGGAGAGUGUUGUGGUGAUAAAGAAGCUUCUGCAGACGCAGCCGAACGAGCACAAGGACAUAAUCGCUCACAUGGCCAAGUUAAUGGAUUUCAUCACCGUGCCGCAGGCCAGAGCUUCCAUCCUGUGGCUCUUGGGUGAGUAUUCCGACCGAGUUCCCAAAAUAGCGCCGGAUGUACUGCGGAAGAUGGCGAAGAGCUUCGUGAACGAGCAGGACAUAGUGAAACUGCAGACCCUGAAUCUGGCGGUGAAGCUAUGCCUGAACAAUCCGACGCAGACGAAACCGUUCUGCCAGUACGUCUUCCAGCUCGCCAAGUACGAUCAGAACUACGACAUCAGGGAUCGCGCCCGCUUCCUGCGGCACUUCAUCUUCGACGACGAGACUGGCGCGAAGAAGCUGCCGCAGUUCGCGAAGAAGAUCUUCCUCGCCCCGAAGCCGGCGCCAACUUUAACCUCCAGGUUCAAGGACUCAGAGUAUCAGUUGGGCACUCUGUCCCAUUACCUGGACAUGCCGUGCGCGGGUUAUCGGCAGUUACCGCCUUUCCCGGAAAUCACGCAAGACCCGUCCGUGCGGGACGUCGCGCCAGCGAUCAUGCAAGAGCACAGUAGAGAGGAGAGAUAUGGUAGGAAGGAGAAGAAGGAGAAGAAGAGCAAGGAAAAGGAGAAGCCUUUCUACAGCGACGAAGAAAGCACUCCCGCUGAAGAAUCGGAGAAUCAGUCGUCCAACGACUCCUCGUCCAACGAGUCGUCGGACGAGGACAGCGACUCCUCGGAGUACUCGAGCGAAUCGGAGAAGUCCGAGACGGGCAGCGGGAAGAAGGACGAAACGAAGUCCGACGAUUCCGAGAGCGAGUCAUCUAGUAGCGAAGAAUCGGACUCCGAGGAAGAGAGCGGUACUCAAGAGAGCGAAGAGGAAAAGCCGAAGGUCAUUAAAAAUGAGAAAGUGACGGAGAAGCCGAAAAGCAACUUCGACUUGCUGUUGGAUUUGGAUGACGUCGUUCCAAUGACUCCCGUGAUGACGCCCAGCCUCGGUGGCUUCCUCACUCCGAUUAAUCCAACGAUCACGGACAACGUGCGCGAGGUGACGACAUCCUACGUUCCGUUGACGAAGACCACUCUGUUGAACAGCAUCACCGGGCACGGCCUGAAAGUCGAGUAUAGAUUCACGAGAUCGCAACAUCUAGUCAGUUCGAGUCUGGUCAGCGUCGAAUUGACGUUCUUAAACGAAAGUAACAACGUCAUGAAGGAGAUCCAAGUGGGAAGCAAGAAUCUGCAGAAGGGAAUGUUCAUCCACGAUUUCACGCAAAUACCGUCGUUAGACGCGAACGCCACGCUAUCCUCUACGUUAGGCGUUAAUUUCAACGAUUCCACUCAACCGGCGAAUUUCAACAUCGACUUCACGAUCAACGACGAGAAGCACUCGUGCCCGGUCAGCGUCAAGGCGCCGAUCGGGGAGAUAAUAAGGUCCGUGAUCCUGCCCGAGGGCAUGUUCAACACGGAGAAGGGCAAAUUGAAGGGCAUGAACGAGCACAUAGCGAAGAUACCGUAUUCCGGGAACAAAAAAGUUCUUCCCCAAAAAGUCUUCGAGGCUGCGAACGUCGCGAGGAUAGCCGACGAGGAGGAGAUCAUGCGGUUCGCCGCUCAUACUUUAGCGUCCAAGUCGUUGGUGCUGCUGACAAUGAAGUUCGUCGAAGCCGAGCAACAAUUGGAGAUUUGCGUGAACUGUGAAAAAAUGGUGAUAGGAUCGAUUCUGUUGAACGAAUUGAAAAGUCACUUGAAGUGAGGCACGUGCUGUUGCUUGCGGAACUAAACGAAUACAGACGCGCGUAUCGUGGCGCUUUUACGACACGAGAGAAAGUUCGAAUACUCUUUGUUACGCGAAGACUGCUCUCUUGACACGGCACCAUAUCAGUUGCUGCGACCCGACGAUAUCUGCGCAGUCCGAUAUCUCCCAAAAAUGCAGACGAUACUCCCUCUGACUCGUCAGGAACCUCUUCAAGACUACACAGAGAGAAAGAAAGAGAGAGGAAUCGCCUGUAUUAUUCUCAGAUAUCAGAGCGACAAGCGUGGAGAUUAGAUACCUACUUCUCAACAUGCCGCUCGAGAUCGGCCUGGAGAAGCCGAUGUCCUCGUUCGGGAAGCGCGCGGUCAUGUCGGACAAGAUCUCCGUGCCGAAGC